ensembl:lncRNA
GCAGCAGGAAGAACAGGCGUGUUCACAGAGGCCGAGUUCCUGUUCUCAGAUCACACAGGAACUAUUCAGACACUUCCCACUGUGUCAGGAUGAAGGUGAAGAUCUUCUGCUGCCUGUUAGCCUGCACUCUGGGCUCUAAUGUCACUGCAGGUUUAACCCAUGAAGGACUUAAGGAGGGGACACAGGUCAGUCUGCGCUGUCCUCACUCUGUGGAGGGUAAAGUGAGGUGGAGCAGAGAGAGUGGAGGAAGCAGAGCUGACAUACUUACAGCUGAUGGAGACGGAAAUAUAAAACACAUCAAUGAUCCACAGAAACGAUACAGUUCACUGGCUGAUCGAUCUCUGAUGAUCCUCAGAGCUGCUCUCUCAGACUCUGGCAGAUACUUCUGUAACCAUGAAGCAGCUGUGGAGCUGACAGUGAUCCCAUCAGGAACUAAAAUAGUGAGUGUUGCAGAGAGGAGCAGCAUCACUCUGAACUGUUCUCAUGAUGUUGGAGGAUCAGCUGUUCCCACAUGGAGACGAGACUCUGGAGAAAUAAAUGAAGGAAGGAUUUCUGUUUCCACUGAGGACAAAACAUUAAGUAUAAGAGAAGCUGAGCCUGCUGACUCUGGACUGUACUACUGUGAUGGAAAACCAGCUGUUUAUCUGAAUGUGACCAAAGGACAGAGAUCUGACAGAGGUGAGACACAUGAACCCAAAAAUAACACAGAAAGGUUUUUGUAGAGUUUCCAACAAACUUUAAUCUAAGAAAAUCUUCCUGCUGGAUUAUUCCUACCAUACAGACAUGAGAGUGGUGUCAGUGUUUUACCUAAAUGUGGACUCACACUGAGCAUGGAGGCCGAGUAGUGUCCCCAUUAAAUUCUGUCUAAUUUAAUAAAAUGCAUUCACAGCUUCUAUCACAGAUGAACUACAAAUCUAAAACACAAACAGCAGAUGUUUCCAUUUAAAUUGUGACUAAGAAGCAAAUUCUUCAUCAGACAAGCUGGAAGUUUUUGAUAGAGCAGAAAUAUCUUAAUGACCUUCAGAUGUGAUGAGAUUAUUACAAACUACAGCACAAAGAUGCUGACUGUGGGCGAGUAUCAGUCAUUCUAGGACGUUCACAAAGCUCGAGCAUUAAUAUUAUUAGUGCUGUCCUGGGAAACAAACGUCCUUUUUUCAUGCUUUCAACAUGUUAAUGACAAUAAAGAACACGUCUUUCGUUCUGUCUGUCUGUCUACUUCAUUUGUCAGAAUCUUAUGUUGUUUGUAACUCACUGACACAUCUGUGUUUCAAACUGGGCUGUCCACACCACACCCAGCCUCUGUGUCAUAACUGGUUAUAAAUACUUUGUGAGGAUGAAUCAGUAAAGUCAUAAAGGUCAACCUUCAACACAACGUUUCCAUGACAGCAUC